rnacentral:rRNA from 1 species
UACAGAGGCCUCGAGCGUUAGGCGGAAUCACUGGGCUUAAAGCGUGUGUAGGUGGAUGCCUAAGUACUUUGUGAAAUCCCACAGCUUAACUGUGGAAUUGCUUGGUAUACUGGGUGUCUUGAGCCACUCAGGGGCUACUGGAACAAACGGUGGAGCGGUGAAAUGCGUAGAUAUCGUUUGGAACGCCAAUGGUGAAAACAGGUAGCUGGGGGUGUGCUGACACUGAGACACGAAAGCCAGGGGAGCAAACAGG